GACAAUCGUGCCCUAACUUAUUGGGUUUCGAUUUUUCUCCUUUAACCUAAAUAACGGAAUACUCUUUUAAAUCGUGACAUGAGUUUUGAAAAAUGCUUAUUCUCGGAGAUACGAGGUGUUGUUCCCUAACUUACUGGGUAUGGCAUUUCGUUACCUCGAAAUAAGAUUUUUGCAAGUAAAGGCAAUAUUCGGUGUUUGGGAAUU
rnacentral:lncRNA from 1 species